rnacentral:tRNA from 1 species
GACUGGAUAGCCUAGUGGUUAAGGCAUCACAUAUGAGUUGUGUCCCACUCAAGGGUCCUUGGUUUGAAACCAAGUCUAGUCA